rnacentral:rRNA from 1 species
GGUUAAGUGACUAAGCGUACACGGUGGAUGCCUUGGCAGUCAGAGGCGAUGAAAGACGUAGUAACUUGCGAUAAGCCCAGAUUAGGUAGUAACAACCAUUUGAGUCUGGGAUUUCUGAAUGGGGAAACCCACGUGCAUAAGCACGUAUCCUUACCUGAAUACAUAGGGUAAGGAGGCGAACCGGGGAACUGAAACAUCUAAGUACCCCGAGGAAAAGAAAUCAACCGAGAUUCCGAAAGUAGCGGCGAGCGAAAUUGGACUAGCCCUUAAGCUUUACACGCGUUAGACGAACGGUCUGGAAAGUCCGACGAUACAGGGUGAUAGUCCCGUAGUUGACGACGUGUGUUCAGUGAAAUCGAGUAGGGCGGGACACGUGAUAUCCUGUCUGAAUAUGGGGGACCAUCCUCCAAGGCUAAAUACUACUGACUGACCGAUAGUGAACCAGUACCGUGAGGGAAAGGCGAAAAGAACCCCUGUGAGGGGAGUGAAAUAGAACCUGAAACCGUGUACGUACAAGCAGUAGGAGCAGGCUUUGUCCUGUGACUGCGUACCUUUGUAUAAUGGGUCAGCGACUUAUAUUCAGUGGCAAGGUUAACCAUCUAGGGGAGCCGUAGGGAAACCGAGUCUUAACUGGGCGUUCAGUCUCUGGAUAUAGACCCGAAACCAGGUGAUCUAGCCAUGGGCAGGUUGAAGGUUGAGUAACAUCAACUGGAGGACCGAACCGACUAAUGUUGAAAAAUUAGCGGAUGACUUGUGGCUAGGGGUGAAAGGCCAAUCAAACCUGGAGAUAGCUGGUUCUCCCCGAAAGCUAUUUAGGUAGCGCCUCGGACGAAUACUACUGGGGGUAGAGCACUGUUAAGGCUAGGGGGUCAUCCCGACUUACCAACCCUUUGCAAACUCCGAAUACCAGUAAGUACUAUCCGGGAGACACACGGCGGGUGCUAACGUCCGUCGUGGAGAGGGAAACAACCCAGACCGCCAGCUAAGGUCCCAAAUUACUACUAAGUGGGAAACGAUGUGGGAAGGCUCAGACAGCCAGGAUGUUGGCUUAGAAGCAGCCAUCAUUUAAAGAAAGCGUAAUAGCUCACUGGUCGAGUCGGCCUGCGCGGAAGAUGUAACGGGGCUAAGUAGUAAACCGAAGCUGCGGCAAUGCACUUUAGUGCAUUGGGUAGGGAGCGUUCUGUAAGCGGUUGAAGGUGUGUGGUAACGCAUGCUGGACGUAUCAGAAGUGCGAAUGCUGACAUGAGUAACGAUAAAGGGGUGAAAAACCUCCUCGCCGGAAGACCAAGGGUUCCUGUCCAACGUUAAUCGGGGCAGGGUAAGUCGACCCCUAAGGCGAGGCCGAAAGGCGUAGUCGAUGGGAAACGGGUUAAUAUUCCCGUACUUCUUACAAUUGCGAUGGGGGGACGGAGAAGGCUAGGUGGGCCUGGCGACGGUUGUCCAGGUUCAAGUGCGUAGGCUUAAGAGUUAGGUAAAUCCGGCUCUUUCUAAGGCUGAGACACGACGUCGAGCACCUACGGGUGUGAAGUCAUUGAUGCCAUGCUUCCAGGAAAAGCCUCUAAGCUUCAGAUUGUAAGGAAUCGUACCCCAAACCGACACAGGUGGUCGGGUAGAGAAUACCAAGGCGCUUGAGAGAACUCGGGUGAAGGAACUAGGCAAAAUGGUACCGUAACUUCGGGAGAAGGUACGCUCUCGACGGUGAAGUCCCUCGCGGAUGGAGCUAUUGAGAGUCGCAGAUACCAGGUGGCUGCAACUGUUUAUUAAAAACACAGCACUGUGCAAAAUCGUAAGAUGACGUAUACGGUGUGACGCCUGCCCGGUGCCGGAAGGUUAAUUGAUGGGGUUAGACUUCGGUCGAAGCUCUUGAUCGAAGCCCCGGUAAACGGCGGCCGUAACUAUAACGGUCCUAAGGUAGCGAAAUUCCUUGUCGGGUAAGUUCCGACCUGCACGAAUGGCGUAAUGAUGGCCACGCUGUCUCCACCCGAGACUCAGUGAAAUUGAAAUCGCUGUGAAGAUGCAGUGUACCCGCGGCUAGACGGAAAGACCCCGUGAACCUUUACUACAGCUUGGCACUGAACAUUGACCCUACAUGUGUAGGAUAGGUGGGAGGCUUUGAAGCACGUACGCCAGUAUGUGUGGAGCCGUCCUUGAAAUACCACCCUUGUAGUGUUGAUGUUCUAACGUCGACCCCUUAUCGGGGUUGCGGACAGUGCCUGGUGGGUAGUUUGACUGGGGCGGUCUCCUCCCAAAGAGUAACGGAGGAGCACGAAGGUGGGCUAAUCACGGUUGGACAUCGUGAGGUUAGUGCAAUGGCAUAAGCCCGCUUGACUGCGAGAAUGACAAUUCGAGCAGGUGCGAAAGCAGGUCAUAGUGAUCCGGUGGUUCUGAAUGGAAGGGCCAUCGCUCAACGGAUAAAAGGUACUCCGGGGAUAACAGGCUGAUACCGCCCAAGAGUUCAUAUCGACGGCGGUGUUUGGCACCUCGAUGUCGGCUCAUCACAUCCUGGGGCUGAAGUCGGUCCCAAGGGUAUGGCUGUUCGCCAUUUAAAGUGGUACGCGAGCUGGGUUUAGAACGUCGUGAGACAGUUCGGUCCCUAUCUGCCGUGGGCGUUGGAAGAUUGAAGGGGCUGCUCCUAGUACGAGAGGACCGGAGUGGACGAACCUCUGGUGUUCGGGUUGUGUCGCCAGACGCAUUGCCCGGUAGCUAAGUUCGGAAUCGAUAACCGCUGAAAGCAUCUAAGCGGGAAGCGAGCCCUGAGAUGAGUCUUCCCUGAUACUUUAAGUAUCCUAAAGGGUUGUCGGAGACUACGACGUUGAUAGGUCAGGUGUGUAAGUGCUGUGAGGCAUUGAGCUAACUGAUACUAAUUGCCCGUGAGGCUUAACCAU